GUUGUAUAGUCAAGUAAUUAAGUGCAUGUGGUGGAUGCCUUGGCAGUCAGAGGCGAUGAAAGACGUGAUAGCCUGCGAAAAGCUCCGGGGAGGCGGCAAAUAUCCUUUGAUCCGGAGAUGUCUGAAUGGGGGAACCCACCUACUUUAAGGUAGGUAUUGCAACAUGAAUACAUAGUGUUGCAAGGCGAACGAGGGGAAGUGAAACAUCUCAGUACCCUUAGGAAAAGAAAUCAAUUGAGAUUCCCUCAGUAGCGGCGAGCGAACGGGGAUCAGCCCAUUAAGUUAUGUGUGUUUUAGUGGAACGCUCUGGGAAGUGCGAACGUAGAGGGUGAUAUUCCCGUACACGAAAGGGCACACAUAAUGAUGACGAGUAGGGCGAGGCACGUGAAACCUUGUCUGAAUAUGGGGGGACCAUCCUCCAAGGCUAAAUACUCCUGACUGACCGAUAGUGAACCAGUACCGUGAGGGAAAGGCGAAAAGAACCCCUGUGAGGGGAGUGAAAUAGAUCCUGAAACCGCAUGCAUACAAGCAGUGGGAGCACCUUCGUGGUGUGACUGCGUACCUUUUGUAUAAUGGGUCAGCGACUUAUAUUCAGUAGCGAGGUUAACCGUAUAGGGGAGCCGUAGAGAAAUCGAGUCUUAAUAGGGCGUUUAGUUGCUGGGUAUAGACCCGAAACCAGGCGAUCUAUCCAUGAGCAGGUUGAAGGUUGGGUAACACUAACUGGAGGACCGAACCCACUGUCGUUGAAAAGCCAGGGGAUGACUUGUGGAUAGGGGUGAAAGGCUAAUCAAGCCUGGUGAUAGCUGGUUCUCCCCGAAAGCUAUUUAGGUAGCGCCUCGGACGAAUACCAUAGGGGGUAGAGCACUGUUUCGGCUAGGGGGUCAUCCCGACUUACCAAACCGAUGCAAACUCCGAAUACCUAUGAGUACUAUCCGGGAGACAGACUGCGGGUGCUAACGUCCGUAGUCAAGAGGAAAACAAUCCAGACCGCCAGCUAAGGCCCCAAAAUCAUAGUUAAGUGGGAAACGAUGUGGGAAGGCAUAGACAGCUAGGAGGUUGGCUUAGAAGCAGCCACCCUUUAAAGAAAGCGUAAUAGCUCACUAGUCGAGUCGGCCUGCGCGGAAGAUGUAACGGGGCUAAAACUAUGUGCCGAAGCUGCGGAUNNNNNNNNNNNNNNNNNNNNNNNNNAUGCUGGAGGUAUCAGAAGUGCGAAUGCUGACGUGAGUAACGACAAAACGGGUGAAAAACCCGUUCGCCGAAAGACCAAGGGUUCCAGUCCAACGUUAAUCGGGGCUGGGUGAGUCGACCCCUAAGGCGAGGCCGAAAGGCGUAGUCGAUGGGAAAAUGGUUAAUAUUCCAUUACUUCUGUGUAAUGCGAUGAGAGGACGGAGAAGGCUAAAUCAGCCUGGCGUUGGUUGUCCAGGUGAAAGGAUGUAGGCAUGUAUCUUAGGCAAAUCCGGGGUACUCUAUGCUGAGAUCUGAUAGCAAGCUGUACUUGUACAGCGAAGUGGUUGAUGCCAUGCUUCCAGGAAAAGUCUCUAAGCUUCAGUUACACAGGAAUCGUACCCGAAACCGACACAGGUGGUCAGGUCGAGUAGACCAAGGCGCUUGAGAGAACUCUGCUGAAGGAACUAGGCAAAAUGGUACCGUAACUUCGGGAGAAGGUACGCUGUUGUUGGUGAUGGAACUCGCUUCCUGAGCUGACGACAGCCGCAGAAACCAGGCCGCUGCAACUGUUUAUUAAAAACAUAGCACUCUGCAAACACGAAAGUGGACGUAUAGGGUGUGAUGCCUGCCCGGUGCUGGAAGGUUAAUUGAUGGGGUUAGCGUAAGCGAAGCUCUUGAUCGAAGCCCCAGUAAACGGCGGCCGUAACUAUAACGGUCCUAAGGUAGCGAAAUUCCUUGUCGGGUAAGUUCCGACCUGCACGAAUGGCAUAAUGAUGGCGGCGCUGUCUCCAGCAGAGGCUCAGUGAAAUCGAAAUCGCUGUGAAGAUGCAGUGUACCCGCGGCUAGACGGAAAGACCCCGUGAACCUUUACUGCAGCUUGACACUGAACUUUGACCUUACUUGUGUAGGAUAGGUGGGAGGCUUUGAAGCUGGAACGCUAGUUCCAGUGGAGCCGUCCUUGAAAUACCACCCUGGUAAUGUUGAGGUUCUAACUCUGUCCCGUGAUCCGGGACGAGGACCGUGUCUGGUGGGUAGUUUGACUGGGGCGGUCUCCUCCUAAAGAGUAACGGAGGAGUACGAAGGUGCGCUCAGCGUGGUCGGAAAUCACGCGUAGAGUAUAAAGGCAAAAGCGCGCUUAACUGCGAGACCCACAAGUCGAGCAGGUACGAAAGUAGGUCUUAGUGAUCCGGUGGUUCUGUAUGGAAGGGCCAUCGCUCAACGGAUAAAAGGUACUCUGGGGAUAACAGGCUGAUACCGCCCAAGAGUUCAUAUCGACGGCGGUGUUUGGCACCUCGAUGUCGGCUCAUCUCAUCCUGGGGCUGAAGCAGGUCCCAAGGGUAUGGCUGUUCGCCAUUUAAAGAGGUACGCGAGCUGGGUUUAGAACGUCGUGAGACAGUUCGGUCCCUAUCUACCGUGGGCGCUGGAAAUUUGAGAGGAUCUGCUCCUAGUACGAGAGGACCAGAGUGGACGAACCUCUGGUGUACCGGUUGUGACGCCAGUCGCAUCGCCGGGUAGCUAUGUUCGGAAGGGAUAACCGCUGAAAGCAUCUAAGCGGGAAGCCUACCUCAAGAUAAGAUUUCCCUAGGACUUUAUGUCCUCUAAAGAGCCGUUCGAGACUAGGACGUUGAUAGGUUGGAUGUGGAAGCAUAGUGAUAUGUGAAGCUGACCAAUACUAAUUGCUCGUGAGGCUUGACUAUACAACACCCAAGCAGUUG
rnacentral:rRNA from 1 species